rnacentral:rRNA from 1 species
AUGAUACCCUUUAGCUUCACAGUGACAAGUCAUUUUCUCAUUACUUUGGCUCUUUCAUUUUCCAUUUUUAUAUGCAUUACGAUCGUUGGAUUUCAAAGACAUGGGCUUCAUUUUUUUAGCUUCUUAUUACCUACGGUAGUCCCACUGCCGUCAGCACCUUUCUUAGUACUCCUUGAGUUAAUCUCUUAUUGUUUUCGUGCAUUAAGCUUAGGAAUACGUUUAUUUGCUAAUAUGAUGGUCGGUCAUAAUUUAGUAAAUAUUUUAAGUGGGUUUGCUUGGACUAUGCUAUUUCUGAAUAAUAUUUUCUAUUUCAUAGGAGAUCUGGGUCCCUUAUUUAUAGUUCUAGCAUUAGCCGGUCUGGAAUUAGGUGUAGCUAUAUCACAAGCUCAUGUUUCUAUGAUCUCAAUUUGCAUUUACUUGAAUGAUGCUACAAAUCUCCAUCAAAAUGAGUCAUUUCAUAAUUGA